rnacentral:lncRNA from 1 species
GUUUCUCACUUAUUUCCUAUCUUAGAGUUCACAGACUUUCCACCUGAUAAUAAUGAUGGCCACUCUUUAGUUCUAGGUCAAAUUGUUCCUGAUAUUCGAACCUUAUCACCUUUUUCUAGUCCUGUAUGUUGUGAUCGCUCACCUUCUAGCUCUCAUGUGUCUUCUACUGAGCAUUAUGUCCUACCUGUGAGACUAAGAAGGUAUUCC